rnacentral:rRNA from 1 species
UGAGGAAUAUUGGUCAAUGGGCGAGAGCCUGAACCAGCCAAGUAGCGUGAAGGAUGACCGCCCUAUGGGUUGUAAACUUCUUUUAUAUGGGAAUAAAGGGUGCCACGUGUGGCAUUUUGUAUGUACCAUAUGAAUAAGGAUCGGCUAACUCCGUGCCAGCAGCCGCGGUAAUACGGAGGAUCCGAGCGUUAUCCGGAUUUAUUGGGUUUAAAGGGAGCGUAGGUGGACAUGUAAGUCAGUUGUGAAAGUUUGCGGCUCAACCGUAAAAUUGCAGUUGAAACUGCGUGUCUUGAGUACAGUAGAGGUGGGCGGAAUUCGUGGUGUAGCGGUGAAAUGCUUAGAUAUCACGAAGAACUCCGAUUGCGAAGGCAGCUCACUGGACUGCAACUGACACUGAUGCUCGAAAGUGUGGGUAUCAAACA